ACAAGGACGUCAAAGAUGUUUGGAUAUUUUUACCUAAAAGUUAAGUAAACAAAUUUUGCAGGGGAGAGUGGUCCCAUACCGACCGGUCGUACCAUACCGACCCCCCCAUGUUUCUCAGAGAUGGCGAUGCUAGCCGAAUUGUCGGUAACGUCGGUGAAAAGCUGUUAUAACACAGACAUUUUGGAGAUAGAUAGCCAUUUUGACUUCUUUUGUUUCGCUUCAAUUUUCCCGAUUGUUUUGUUUCAACGCCUGUGACAUUCAUUUUUGAGCUUCACUGAACUUGAGCUGAAAGUGUUUUUUUUCUGCAUAAAAAUCGGAGGAGUUACAUCGCUCCUUGCGUCAUUAGAUAAUGGCGAGCAAUUAAUUAAAAAAGGUCGUGGUGGUCCGAAACCGACCGCGAAGUGAUGGUCCGAAACCGACCCCCAUUUAUUGGCAGCGUAAUUUGUCAUAGCAUGUUUUUGAGAAAUGGGACGGACAUUUAAGCGUAAAACAUUAAAAAGGGAUCCGGAGAUUCUACGUCAAGCAGUUGCAGCAAUGAAAUUGGGACUGUCGCUUCGCGCAGCUGCGCGUAAAUUCGCAAUUCCUCGAUCAACAUUAUUGCUGCAUCGCAGAAAUAAUGCAAAUAUUAUUAUAUAUAUUAUAUUAUUGGAAAGAGACGAGGUCGACAGCCAGGCCGAACUGCGAUUCUAACAGCCGACUCUGAAAUAGAACAAAUCGCCGAACAAGAGAAAAUGCGAAAUGCGAAAAAAAGCAACAAGAAAAGAAAAAUCAAGAAAAACAAGAAAAGAGAAAAAGAAAACAAGAUUCAGUAAAGAAAAGUCAACAGAAACAGCAAAAACAUCAGAAGAAAGCGAAAAGACAAAUGGAACCACAGUCAUCAACGAGCGGCUUUCGAAAAACAACGCGAGUGAAGACCAUUCGAACUUACUUUGAGGACAGCUCAGACUUUAGCAAUUGACUACAGUGCCCUUUAUUUCAUAUAUUAAUUUUUAUUUUCUGGAAACAACCUUCAAAAUGUUUCUUAAUAAACGUCAAAAUCAUUAAAUUCUAUUUUAUGUUAUUGAAUUUUUCUUGCACCUUACAAUGAAAAUUCGAAAUCAUACUUUUUAUUGCAAUUUUCUGCUGAGAAAUAGGGGGGUCGGUUUCGGACCAUGUGGAGGUCGGUUUCGGACCACUAUU